rnacentral:rRNA from 1 species
ACUAGUAUGAAUGGCCCCACGAAAGCUAUACUGUCUCCUUUUUCUAAUCAGUUAAACUAAUCUCCCCGUGAAGAAGCGGGGAUAAACAUAUAAGACGAGAAGACCCUAUGGAGCUUUAAAUAACUGAAACAUUUGCAUCCCACUUUAAAUUUCCGAAAUCUACACUUAAUUCCACAUCUUGUUUCUAGUUUUAGGUUGGGGUGACCACGGAGAAAAACCAAACCUCCAUGCCGAAAGAAACAUCUCUAAACAAAAAACUACAAUUUUAUGUAUUAACACAUUAACCUUAAUUGACCCA